rnacentral:rRNA from 1 species
GACAGAGGCCCCAAGCGUUAGGCGGAAUCACUGGGCUUAAAGCGUGUGUAGGCGGAUCGUUAAGUGUCUUGUGAAAUCCCACGGCUCACCCGUGGAACUGCUGGGCAUACUGGCGAUCUUGGGCCAACUAGGGGCAGCCGGAACAAGCGGUGGAGCGGUGAAAUGCGUAGAUAUCACUCGGAAGGCCAACGGCGAAGGCAGGUUACUGGUACGCAACUGACGCUGAGGCACGAAAGUGUGGGGAGCAAACAGG